rnacentral:lncRNA from 1 species
GAGUUUUGCUCGAGGACUAGCAAAAUGUUACCCAUGGGGGAUAAUAAAGAUUGAGAGUAAGGCCACUGAAGUGCUUAUGGUUAAUGGACUAAGCUUCAAGCCGUAUGUUGUGGAUGAUGAAUUGAAAAAUAGGGUGAAUUUGUCAAGCUAGUGACUAUAAAAAAGCAUUUCUCGGGAGGCAAUCCAAGUUUUUCUACACUCAGUCAUUUUUUUUUUAAUAAUCUUCUUUAUGUUUCCUUAUAUUCAUAAUUUUUAGUUUUAGUUUUAAUUUUAUCUGCUUAUUUUCUCUUUUGUAGGUAUUAUGAAUAUUUUUUUCUCUUUUAUUUAUUCAAAAAAAAAAUACAUAGCACCCUUAGUGUCGUGGCACCAGGCACCUAGCACCAUGACUCGGAACCUCCCUCGGGCCUAUGACAACCGCCUCGACGUCCCAAUUGACACUCAUUACCCGAAAUGCCAAUCAGAACCCCGCAAGGCUUACAUAUCAGUUUCUUGCCUUUUCUGUGAGCAAUCGUUUUUAAACAUUCCAUUUUAAACAAUUUCCAGUAGUUUCCUGCUCAAGUAAAUCAAAAGACAAAAAUAUUUUAAAAAGAUUUAUAGAUAAAUAUCACUAUUCAAAAUAUUGAUUAAAAUAUAACAUUUUUUUAUAUAAAAUAAUAUUUAUAGAAACACGUGUAAGAAAUCUUUUUGUAAC